AUGAAUGACAGUGUGUUUUGUGCAGCGGCACGGGCAGAUGGAUGGGAUAUUAGCCUUACAUGUCAGCCGCCCAACUCACCUGAUUUGAACAUUCUUGACUUAGGGUUGUUUGCGGCACUUCAGGCUCUUUCUGAGAAGAUGUCCCCCGGUAAAAUUGCUGGUAUUGUUGCGGAGGUGAAAAAAGCAUAUGACAUGUACCCGGCCAAGAGAAGCAACCGUAUUUUCCCGACCCUUCAGUCAUGCAUGCGCAAGGUACUGAAGCAGAAAGGAGGUAACCGGUACAAGGUCCCGCAAAUGAGGAAGUCAUUUCCGGCGGCACUCGAAAUGCUUCCGGACGUAGUACCCUGCGAGGCUGAUGUUGUAAUUGCUGCUAUUGAGGCCCUUCCAGAUGCUUGA
rnacentral:rRNA from 1 species